rnacentral:rRNA from 1 species
GUGGCGAACGGGUGAGUAACACGUGGGUAACCUGCCCAUCAGAAGGGGAUAACACUUGGAAACAGGUGCUAAUACCGUAUAACAAUCGAAACCGCAUGGUUUUGAUUUGAAAGGCGCUUUCGGGUGUCGCUGAUGGAUGGACCCGCGGUGCAUUAGCUAGUUGGUGAGGUAACGGCUCACCAAGGCCACGAUGCAUAGCCGACCUGAGAGGGUGAUCGGCCACAUUGGGACUGAGACACGGCCCAAACUCCUACGGGAGGCAGCAGUAGGGAAUCUUCGGCAAUGGACGAAAGUCUGACCGAGCAACGCCGCGUGAGUGAAGAAGGUUUUCGGAUCGUAAAACUCUGUUGUUAGAGAAGAACAAGGAUGAGAGUAACUGUUCAUCCCUUGACGGUAUCUAACCAGAAAGCCACGGCUAACUACGUGCCAGCAGCCGCGGUAAUACGUAGGUGGCAAGCGUUGUCCGGAUUUAUUGGGCGUAAAGCGAGCGCAGGCGGUUUCUUAAGUCUGAUGUGAAAGCCCCCGGCUCAACCGGGGAGGGUCAUUGGAAACUGGGAGACUUGAGUGCAGAAGAGGAGAGUGGAAUUCCAUGUGUAGCGGUGAAUGCGUAGAUAUAUGGAGGAACACCAGUGGCGAAG